CACAUUGAACCUUCGGGGGAUUUGUUGGGCGGCGAGCGGCGGACGGGUGAGUAAUGCCUAGGAAAUUGCCCUGAUGUGGGGGAUAACUAUUGGAAACGAUAGCUAAUACCGCAUGAUGCCUACGGGCCAAAGAGGGGGACCUUCGGGCCUCUCGCGUCAGGAUAUGCCUAGGUGGGUUUAGCUAGUUGGUGAGGUAAGGGCUCACCAAGGCGACGAUCCCUAGCUGGUCUGAGAGGAUGAUCAGCCACACUGGAACUGAGACACGGUCCAGACUCCUACGGGAGGCAGCAGUGGGGAAUAUUGUACAAUGGGCGCAAGCCUGAUGCAGCCAUGCCGCGUGUAUGAAGAAGGCCUUCGGGUUGUAAAGUACUUUCAGUCGUGAGGAAGGUUCAUGCGUUAAUAGCGUAUGGAUUUGACGUUAGCGACAGAAGAAGCACCGGCUAACUCCGUGCCAGCAGCCGCGGUAAUACGGAGGGUGCGAGCGUUAAUCGGAAUUACUGGGCGUAAAGCGCAUGCAGGUGGUUAGUUAAGUCAGAUGUGAAAGCCCGGGGCUCAACCUCGGAAUUGCAUUUGAAACUGGCUGACUAGAGUACUGUAGAGGGGGGUAGAAUUUCAGGUGU
rnacentral:rRNA from 1 species